rfam:Coccidioides immitis RS genomic scaffold supercont3.3, whole genome shotgun sequence.
GCCCCAGUAGCCCAAUGGUAGGGCGUCAGACUUCUAAUCUGAAGGUUGGCGGUUCGAGCCCGCCCUGGGGUG